GACAGAGGUCCCGAGCGUUAGGCGGAAUCACUGGGCUUAAAGCGUGUGUAGGCGGAGUUCUAAGUACCUUGUGAAAUCCCACGGCUCAACCGUGGAACUGCUUGGUAUACUGGUUCUCUUGAGCCACCUAGGGGCAACCGGAACAAACGGUGGAGCGGUGAAAUGCGUAGAUAUCGUUUGGAACGCCAAUGGUGAAAACAGGUUGCUGGGGGUGUGCUGACGCUGAGACACGAAAGCCAGGGGAGCAAACGGG
rnacentral:rRNA from 1 species